CAGUCGCCGCGGUAAUACGAAGGGUGCAAGCGUUACUCGGAAUUACUGGGCGUAAAGCGUGCGUAGGUGGUGGUUUAAGUCCGUUGUGAAAGCCCUGGGCUCAACCUGGGAAUUGCAGUGGAUACUGGGUCACUAGAGCGUGGUAGAGGAUAGUGGAAUUUCCGGUGUAGCAGUGAAAUGCGUAGAGAUCGGAAGGAACAUCUGUGGCGAAGGCGACUAUCUGGGCCAACACUGACACUGAGGCACGAAAGCGUGGGGAGCAAACAGGAUUAGAUACCCCGGUAGUCCCUGUCUCUUAUAC
rnacentral:rRNA from 1 species